GAGCAGUAUUAGUUUUCUUCUAACAUCCAGAAGUCUGCACGAUGUGUUUCAUAGUUUGUAACAAGCCUUUGACAGGUAAACAUAACAUGACCGAAAAAGCAAAAAAAAAAAAAAAAAGAAAAAGAGAGAGAGAGUGUUGACAUAAGAAGAGAAAAUGCUCUCAAUUAUGGAGACAGGCAAAUGGUUCAUUUAUGUUUGAUGUGUGUUUAUUCCUCCCUAAAUAUCGUCGGUGAAGUUUGCCAUGCACGUCAGAUUUUCCUGCGCAUUUUUAUACCUCUGCCAACAGAGAGAGAGAAAAAAAUCACAUUCUAACAGACAGCUGGUGCUUAGAAUACAGUUGAAUAACUAUUAAAAAACAGAUGAUAUUUAGAUGAUAGUUCAGUCUAACACAUGUGCCAGUGAACCAUUAAACGUCUGUGAAACUAUGCAGUUAUGAAACGUAACUUUAACCUCAGCCAAACCGAUUUGCUCACGUGAGCCGACAGACAGAACCUGAGUGAAUGAAGUCCAGCGUUUAACCACUGAGAGCUAAAACUCAGCUGAGGUUUCAAAGCUGUGUGCCGGUGAUUGGACAUCAGCCGCUGAUGAAGCUGUUCGCCUAUAAAGUGCUCUCUGUUUCUCUUUCCCUCUUUCCUUCUCCCCUUCUUUCCCCCAGUCAAGUCUGUCCCGUAUUCAGUAAGUGAAAAUAAAAUAAACACUAAAAGGUGAAUCAAAUGGACCAUUACGGCAAGGCUGGGAUGGUCAAUUUGGUAAAGUAAAUCCGUUGGGCAUCUUUCUUUGCCUUUAGACAAUAAUUCUGAUGGCAAAAGAGCCAAACGGGACAGGCAAAAAAAAAAAAAAAAAAAAAAAAGAAAAUCUUAGCUCACACAGCUGCAAAACC
ensembl:lncRNA